UUAAUUGAAACCAAAACAGAGGUAUAUCACUGUUAAUGAUAUUAAUGGAAAUAUUCCCAAUUAAA
rnacentral:tRNA from 1 species